AAAGGUGGUUGAUGGUUUGUAAUAGCCAAUUUGACAUAUUUUUCCUCAGAACUUUUAUUUGGGGAAACUGCUAAUUCUUGUGUUGUUUUCUUCUCAUAUUUGCGUAGAUCUGCUUGUGAGGACAAUUGUCACAGUACUCUUGUGGCAUAUCAUAAUUUCUUAAGAAUUGCAAGUGAGUGGCUAUCUCAUAUAGCAACUGAUGUGAGUUUGACCUUAUAAAAGUUUUCUUUUGCAUUUCCAGAAAGUAAUAGAUCAGAGCAUUCCAUGAUUUUUAAUUCUCUUUAAUCUCUUGAUUUGCGAAAAUAUAGAAAGUGUCUUCAGCCAUGCUAGUUAAAUACCAUCCUUUCAGUUAUUUGUUGGAUCGGAUAUUUUGGGGGUGGCGGUGUAAUCUACAUCUAGGUCUAAG
rnacentral:lncRNA from 1 species